AGAGUUUGAUCCUGGCUCAGGAUGAACGCUGGCGGUCUGCUUAACACAUGCAAGUCGAACGGAGUGUUUCGGCACUUAGUGGCGGACGGGUGAGUAACGCGUGAGAAUCUGGCUUCAGGAGAGGGAUAACAGUUGGAAACGACUGCUAAUACCGCAUAUGCCUAAGGGUGAAAGGAUUAAUUGCCUGAAGAUGAGCUCGCGUCAGAUUAGGUAGUUGGAGUGGUAAGGGCACCCCAAGCCGACGAUCUGUAGCUGGUCUGAGAGGAUGAGCAGCCACACUGGGACUGAGACACGGCCCAGACUCCUACGGGAGGCAGCAGUGGGGAAUUUUCCGCAAUGGGGGCAACCCUGACGGAGCAAGACCGCGUGCGGGAGGACGGCCUGUGGGUUGUAAACCGCUUUUGUCAGGGAAGAAAAAUGACGGUACCUGACGAAUCAGCCUCGGCUAACUCCGUGCCAGCAGCCGCGGUAAUACGGAGGAGGCAAGCGUUAUCCGGAAUGAUUGGGCGUAAAGCGUCCGUAGGUGGUUGACCAAGUCAGCUGUCAAAGCGUGGGGCUUAACCUCAUAAGGGCGGUUGAAACUGGUGAGCUAGAGUGCGGUAGGGGUCAGAGGAAUUCCCAGUGUAGCGGUGAAAUGCGUAGAGAUUGGGAAGAACACCGGCGGCGAAAGCGUCUGACUGGGCCUGCACUGACACUGAGGGACGAAAGCUAGGGGAGCGAAAGGGAUUAGAUACCCCUGUAGUCCUAGCUGUAAACGAUGGGUACUAGGUGUUGUCCGUAUCGACCCGGGCAGUGCCGUAGCUAACGCGUUAAGUACCCCGCCUGGGGAGUACGCACGCAAGUGUGAAACUCAAAGGAAUUGACGGGGGCCCGCACAAGCGGUGGAGUAUGUGGUUUAAUUCGAUGCAACGCGAAGAACCUUACCAGGGCUUGACAUGUCCAGGAUCUUCUUGAGAAGGGGAGAGUGCCUUCGGGACCGGAACCCAGGUUGCUGCAUGGCUGUCGUCAGCUCGUGUCGUGAGAUGUGGGUUAAGUCCCGCACGAGCGCAUCCUCGUCAUUAAGCUGCCAGCAUUAAGUUGGGCACUUCCUAACGAGACUGACAGUGACAACCGAGAAGGUGGGGAUGACGUCAAGUCACCAUGGCCUUACGUCCUGGCUACACGA
rnacentral:rRNA from 1 species